AGAGUUUGAUCCUGGCUCAGGAUGAACGCUAGCGACAGGCCUAACACAUGCAAGUCGAGGGGCAGCGGGGAGGUAGCAAUACCUCUGUCGGCGACCGGCGCACGGGUGAGUAACACGUAUGCAAUCCACCUGUAACAGGGGGAUAACCCGGAGAAAUCCGGACUAAUACCCCAUAAUAUGGGCGCUCCGCAUGGAGGGCUCAUUAAAGAAAGCAAUUUUGGUUACAGACGAGCAUGCGCUCCAUUAGCCAGUUGGCGGGGUAACGGCCCACCAAAGCGACGAUGGAUAGGGGUUCUGAGAGGAAGGUCCCCCACAUUGGAACUGAGACACGGUCCAAACUCCUACGGGAGGCAGCAGUGAGGAAUAUUGGUCAAUGGUCGGCAGACUGAACCAGCCAAGUCGCGUGAGGGAAGACGGCCCUACGGGUUGUAAACCUCUUUUGUCGGAGAGUAAAGUACGCUACGUGUAGCGUAUUGCAAGUAUCCGAAGAAAAAGCAUCGGCUAACUCCGUGCCAGCAGCCGCGGUAAUACGGAGGAUGCGAGCGUUAUCCGGAUUUAUUGGGUUUAAAGGGUGCGUAGGCGGCACGCCAAGUCAGCGGUGAAAUUUCCGGGCUCAACCCGGAGUGUGCCGUUGAAACUGGCGAGCUAGAGUACACAAGAGGCAGGCGGAAUGCGUGGUGUAGCGGUGAAAUGCAUAGAUAUCACGCAGAACCCCGAUUGCGAAGGCAGCCUGCUAGGGUGAAACAGACGCUGAGGCACGAAAGCGUGGGUAUCGAACAGGAUUAGAUACCCUGGUAGUCCACGCAGUAAACGAUGAAUACUAACUGUUUGCGAUACAAUGUAAGCGGUACAGCGAAAGCGUUAAGUAUUCCACCUGGGGAGUACGCCGGCAACGGUGAAACUCAAAGGAAUUGACGGGGGCCCGCACAAGCGGAGGAACAUGUGGUUUAA
rnacentral:rRNA from 1 species